GCACCCGUAGCUUAGCUGGAUAAAGCGUCAGUUUGCGGAACUGAAGACCGUGGGUUCGAAUCCCGCCGGGUGCA
rnacentral:tRNA from 1 species